rnacentral:rRNA from 1 species
CCUACGGGAGGCAGCAGUGGGGAAUAUUGGACAAUGGGGGCAACCCUGAUCCAGCCAUGCCGCGUGUGUGAAGAAGGCCCUCGGGUUGUAAAGCACUUUCAGCGAGGAAGUACGCCUAGCGGUUAAUACCCGCUAGGAAAGACAUCACUCGCAGAAGAAGCACCGGCUAACUCCGUGCCAGCAGCCGCGGUAAUACGGAGGGUGCAAGCGUUAAUCGGAAUUACUGGGCGUAAAGCGCGCGUAGGUGGCUUGAUAAGCCGGUUGUGAAAGCCCCGGGCUCAACCUGGGAACGGCAUCCGGAACUGUCAAGCUAGAGUGCAGGAGAGGAAGGUAGAAUUCCCGGUGUAGCGGUGAAAUGCGUAGAGAUCGGGAGGAAUACCAGUGGCGAAGGCGGCCUUCUGGACUGACACUGACACUGAGGUGCGAAAGCGUGGGUAGCAAACAGGAUUAGAUACCCUGGUAGUCCACGCCGUAAACGAUGUCGACCAGCCGUUGGGUGCCUAGCGCACUUUGUGGCGAAGUUAACGCGAUAAGUCGACCGCCUGGGGAGUACGGCCGCAAGGUUAAAACUCAAAUGAAUUGACGGA